ensembl:lincRNA Fzd10os frizzled class receptor 10, opposite strand
GCCCUCAGCCCCAGCUUGGGGCUGGACCCCAGCCUCCAGCCUCACCUCCUGCCGGCCUCUCUGCUAGCCCUCCCCGCCCCAGGGGGGGUGGGUGGGAGGCCUUGAGAUUGUCCCCGGUACCCCAAGGACGCCGAGGUUACGGGAAGUUUGGGAACCCGGACUUGGGAUGGAGUGAAAGGAAGGAUUUAGAAGCAGGUGUGUUGGGAAUUACUAGCCAGCAGACUCCCUGGCUAGUUGAGUGUGUGAGUGUUUGCCUGUAAGUGUGCCUGUACACACGCCUACUUGGUGGCUGAGGAGGCCAGAAGAGGGUGGUCAGAUCUCCUGGAACUGGAGUUAUAGGUGGUUGUGGGCCACCAUUUGGGUCCCGGGAAACUGAACCUGUGUCCUCUACAAGAGCCGCAAGGGUUCUUAACGGCUGAGCCAUUUCUUCGGCCCCCUUUCUUCAAUUCUCCAUUGUCCUGCUGGAAGGCGGGAUGGCUUCGCUGACGACCUCAUGCAGGAGUGGUACCCAUUUCCUUCCCCGUGGAUGGCUGAGCAUGUCGCUUCCUCUCUCUGUCUUGAGUGUAGCCAGGGAAAAGGAACUGCAGCUCUUCCCCGGAUUGCAGAGUGGGAGACAGAGCAAGGGCCCCAGAACAGCUCCCUGGAUGCUCCUGGCUAUUGAAUUAACUGCAGAACCUCCUCUGUGGCUGGGGUCUGACACUGUUAUCCUUCCUGGCCUUACACACACAGAUCCAGCUCAGCCUCACAAUCCAGUGGUUCCUGAAGCUUGUGUCCUGCCUGCCCACCUUCAUCCACAGGGCAACUUGGGAACCAGACUUAUCUCUGUGGUAUAAGGCCCCAGUAUCCCGAGUUCUUCCAGGAGAGGGAAGACAGCAAAGACAGUGAGGGAGAGAGCAGACAUCUGUCUCUGGGGUGCUUAUCUGUGUGGAAGAGACCGGUCCUUCCUGAUUGGCUUCAUGUCCCUCAAGAUCCCAAGAAGGCUGUGGCCAAUGUCCCUAUUUCAAAGCCAGAGAAUAGGGGCAGAGACUCAGCAGCCUGCUCCUGGGUGCGAAGAGACAAGGUCAGGUGCAGCCUAUGCUCACAGUCUUGGAAGCUUGGUGGUGGUGGAGUAGGUUCUCCCUGAGAGGAAUGAUCUGUCCAUCAUUGAAGAUGUCCAGUAGGGAACCCCAGGUCAAGCUGGGACUCCCAUGAUACAUGGAGGAUGCAGACUGAUGGUGGCAUGUACUGGACUCCUGUAAGGCUAUGGAUGUUACUGAGUCCUGUAAGGUUAUGGAUGUUAUCACAGACCUGUCACCAACUACAGCAGUGUUUGCACUCAAGUGAGGCCUUGACUUGGUCCCCACUUCUCUUUGACAAUAUGUUCCUGGAUUCUCACCAUCAAUAAGAGCAAGCAGAGACCCCCACAUUGCUCUGCCGUUCACAUACAGCUAUCUUAGAAGACAUAGGCAAGAUAGUUCAUCUUCAUUAGCAACUUGGCAGGACUUAGAAUCACAACAGCAACAUUGCUGGGUGUGCCUAUGCUGGUCUUUUAAGACCUGGUUAACUGAAGAGAGACGAUGUACCAUGAGUGUGGAUGCUACUAUCCUAUGAGCUGGGGGACCUGAACUAAAUAAAAAAAUGAAAGUGAGUUGAGCACCAGCAUCCAUCUCCCUUUGCUUCCUGACUGUGGAUACAAUGUGACCAGCUGUCUCAGGCUCCUGCUGCCAUGCCUUCUCUACCAUGUUGGACUGUAUUCUCAAACUAUGAGCCUAGAUAAACCCUUCCUCUUCCUCCAGUUCCUUUUUUCACAAUGAUUAGAAAGGUGACUAAAACUCUGUAAAAUACAAAUUUCAGGCGGAGACAUGACAGUCACUGAUAUAAGGACUCCUCAGAUCUCUGUUUACACUUCAUUCUGAAAUAUAGAGUUGCAGGGAGUCACGCUUAUACAAAACAGGCAGGCUGGAUUUCACUGUCUCACUGCAUGAACCCCAUCAAAACCUUGUGUUCUUGUGUGUCCUGAAAGCUCCUCCCUCCCUUUUUUUUACAAAGGUCAUAAACUCU